rnacentral:tRNA from 1 species
GCAGGAGUUGCCAAGCCUGGUCAACGGUGCUAGACCGAGGCUCUAGUCUCAUAGGAGUUCGAGGGUUCGAAUCCCUCCUCCUGCA